ensembl:lncRNA
UUUAUCUGAAGCAAUUAUUUACAAUUGUACAGGCAGCAACAAAUCAAACUUUCCCAAACUAGUUGUAGAGUGGUUACACUUGAAUUGUUAAGAUUCUAAAUAAACAUGACAAUUUCUGUAUUACUAAAUGUCAAUUGGAUGUACAACUAAUAAGUUUUGUAGCUUUGCAAGUAUCCUACUUAUUUGGAAGUCGUGCUAUGAAAAGGUGUCCUUUUGGAUUUCAUCUUUUUUCCAGUCAUUAACAAUCAUCAUUCAUUUGCAUAACUACACAUGAAAAUAUUACAACAGCAGUUUCAAAGGCAUGCCCCAGCAAAGCUGCAAACUAGUAGCCAAGCACAAUUUUUACAGGAUGGUGCUAUGUUUGGCAGUGGUGCCGAUUCUCUAAUUGGUAACUGUAAAGGACCUACCAUGUGUCUAGACUGGUAUCACUGUCAGAAUGAAAACAACUAUACUUAAUACUUCAUAAAACAAAGGCAAACCCCACCCCUCUACUCUGUAAUAUAAACUUAGAAAUGAAGAACUGAAGUUUGAUUACGUAAUCGAUAAUGAUGUCUCCUUCCUACCCUGCAAAGAACCACCCAAGCCCUUGCAUUAACACUUACCUAAGUGAUAAUCUAACCUCCUUCCAAUAUUCUUUGCUUUCUUAUCCUUUAGUAAAAACACCAUAGUAUUGUUUCUCCAGUGGCAAACGGCUGCUAGUUCCCUACUAGAACACUUUUAAGCCAUUGCAGUCUAGGGCUGUAUACAUAGAAAGAUGAAAUUUUAAAGGUCUUUUCCCUAAAAUAUUAUCAAGGAGGCAUGCUGCAUCUAGAAUUAAAUUUUCUCAGUCUUCAGUAUUAUGUAGAAGUAAUGUUUGUCUUUGCACAAAUAGAAGAGCCAUCCUCUGCUUACUUUUGGUAAAGGAUAACUGCUUCCUCAAGUUUUUCUGAUGAUGGGUAACCUACUUGCUGCAAAUGGUUAUCUGUGCAGAAUUACCAGACUUUACUGAAAAAUCCUCUUCCCUAAUUUAUCUAAAGAAACAAAUUGUAAGGAGCUGCUUGGAGAUCAGUCUUCUUUCAUAAAGGUGCUAACAGAACAAAGUGUCACAACUCUCUUCACCUUCAUCAUCCUGGAAGAUUGCAGAGCUGGGUACAGUUACACUCUGUAUCUACAACUGCUCUGUCAGGAUUUUGGCAUGGAAAAAACCACAGUCCUGCAUAGCCAUGAAAGUGCUAUGACAAACAGCACUUAUAAAACUUGAAACAGUAAUAAAUACUACAAUUUGAAGUUUUCUGUUAACAAGAUUUUAGUAAAAAAACCUGUUGUUUAUAAUAGUGUAUCCAAAACUGCAAGAAGUGCUGUUUGCAGGUUAGUCCAGAAAUAAAAGAUCAUCACAACACAUAUGGUAGCAAUCACUUAGACCACUGUUAGUAACCUUAGUUCUUUUCACUCAUGUACUCUGAAUAAAGCGCUUUGCCAUUCCAUUAUUAAGUACACUACUCCACACAAAUCAAAUGUAGCCUUAUCCUACAGCACACCUUGAGUUUUCUACCAUCUCACUCUGGAAACACAGCAAAAAAUGCUGUUAAACAGCAUAUCCCUGAAAGAGCUUUGCUGGCUCUGGUCCAAAACACUAACUUUGCCACAUUUAUACUUCCCCCACCAACUCAAUUAGAAUUUACCUUUUUCCCCAUGUAUUUUUUUUUGUCUUGUUUCCUAAUGAUGCAAAUCUGGGCAUCAAACUUUACUCUGCAUUCCCACUGUUUUGCACUUAAUUUCAUACACAUACAGCAAGCAAGACUUUUAAUUUUUUUUUAAUUUACAGUAUUGAUUGCUCCAAAUUAUGCCUUACUGUUGGUACACAGUAAAUACAUUCUUCUGAACAACUUAGUAUGAAAAAAAUGCAGAUAAAACAUUAAAAAUACUGCUUUACGAUGUGUGAAACAGAACCUUCAGAAGUAAUGAUGGUGGCUACAGCCAGGCACAGAGGAAGACUGCUUGAUUUUGUGUUUUAGUCUACCAGCACAAUCAUUCCUGUAUCCCUCCAUCUGAAACUUCCCAUAACAAUGAAUUCUAGGUUAAUGUUUCUGCUGAAAUAAGAAGAUUACAUAACUCUCAGCUUGGCCACUAGCACUCGUAUUCCCAGAUGAGGGUGCUUUCUCUUACACUAAGAAUGGCUGUUAUCAGAAGAUUUACUGAGCAAAGGGCACCAAUAACACAUCAAAACUGGAAAUGUUUCUGAAGGGGAAUUAUAUUCUAUACGUGCAUGCAGCUGUCAAAGUCAGGAUGGAUUAGGUAACAUGGUUCCCCUAGAUAAAAGACAAGUGGCUGGGCACAAGUCGCAGUUCACAAAUAGUACUUAAUCAGAUGAAAUGCAUUUUUAUCACAAGCUUUAGACAGAUUAAUAUAUAUUGCAACACCUAGCACUGAUUAAAUUUAGAAAAAUAUUAUACUGGAAUUGGAUUUUUAAUAGCCUUUGUUGUUAAUGUAACAGAAGAUGUAUGGCAGAAGAUGCCAAAAAGCACCCUGCUUUUUGAUCUUCAAGAGUUAUUACACUGCUAAUGAUUACUCAUUUGAUUAUUUACAUAUUUUUUAAAACAAUGAAGAGGCAGGAAAUGUUUCUUUAUUUUUUUUUUUUAAUUUUUAUGAUCAAGGAUGACUGAACCCAAUUACAUAGUUUUUGUUAAGUUAAUGGCUGCCAAACAAGUGUGUACUCCAGUGACCCACCGUGAGCAAAGUCAUCUGAUGGGUGAGAUAGAUUUUAAGGUUAGACACAGUACAUGUAAAAAUAGAAAGUUUAAAAACCAAUCUCAUCACAGACAUUUCCAUUGCCAUCUCCUUUGUGAAAUAAAUAAGGCAGCAGAUAACUUUUACUUUGCAGUGGCAACUUUGAGGUAUGCUAUUAAGUCUGCUCUCUCGCCCUUCUUCUUAAUACCCGCAAAAAUCAUCUUUGUUCCAGGAAUAUACUUCUUUGGAUUUUCCAAAUACUCCAUCAGAGUAUCCUCACCCCAGUUUACCUUUGUUCUUAUUAGCAUCCGUGUAAGAGAAACCUUCAGCUUGCCCAGUCUUGCGUCCGAAUAGGCCAUUCAAGUUGGGCCCAGUCUUAUGCUUGCCUCCCUUUUCAACCGUGUGGCACUGGGAGCAUUUCUGGACAAAGAUCUUCUUGCCCUUCUCAACGUCUCCCAUUGUCAGUACU